CACGUAGUUAGCCGUGGCUUCCUCGUAAGAUACCAUCACUUAAUGAUCAUUUCCUAUCAUUACCGUUUUUCUCUUACAACAGAGCUUUACGACCCGAAGGCCUUCUUCACUCACGCGGCAUUGCUCGUUCAGGGUUUCCCCCAUUGACGAAAAUUCCCUACUGCUCGCCUCCCGUAGGAGUUUGGGCCGUGUCUCAGUCCCAAUGUGGCCGUCUACCCUCUCAGGCCGGCUACGUAUCAUCGCUUUGGUGGGCCGUUACCCCGCCAACUGGCUAAUACGCCGCAGGUCCAUCCAUGUCCGCACCGAGGUCCUUUAAUAUAGUCAAGAUGCCUUGUCUAUACCUAUCCGGUUUUAGCAGACGUUUCCAUCUGUUAUCCCGGGUACAUGGGCAGGUUCCCUAGUGUACUCACCCGUUCGCCACUAAUCUGUCAAAAGCAAGCUUUACAACAGUCUUCGUUCGACUUGCAUGUAUAGCAUGCCGCAGCGUUCACUCCUAGACGCCAGGAUACGAAACUCUAC
rnacentral:rRNA from 1 species